rnacentral:rRNA from 1 species
AAAUUGAAGAGUUUGAUCAUGGCUCAGAUUGAACGCUGGCGGCAGGCCUAACACAUGCAAGUCGAACGGUAACAGGAAGCAGCUUGCUGCUUCGCUGACGAGUGGCGGACGGGUGAGUAAUGUCUGGGAAACUGCCUGAUGGAGGGGGAUAACUACUGGAAACGGUGGCUAGGCUA